GAUGAACGCUAGCUACAGGCUUAACACAUGCAAGUCGAGGGGAAACGCCAUCGAAAGCUUGCUUUUGAUGGGCGUCGACCGGCGCACGGGUGAGUAACGCGUAUCCAACCUGCCCAUCACUUGGGAAUAACCUUGCGAAAGUAAGACUAAUACCCAAUGAUAUCCCACGAAGGCAUCGGAAUGGGAUUAAAGAUUUAUCGGUGAUGGAUGGGGAUGCGUCUGAUUAGCUUGUUGGCGGGGUAACGGCCCACCAAGGCAACGAUCAGUAGGGGUUCUGAGAGGAAGGUCCCCAACAUUGGAACUGAGACACGGUCCAAACGCCUACGGGAGGCAGCAGUGAGGAAUAUUGGUCAAUGGGCGAGAGCCUGAACCAGCCAAGUAGCGUGCAGGAAGACGGCCCUAUGGGUUGUAAACUGCUUUUAUAAGGGAAUAAAGUGGGUCACGUGUGACUUUUUGCAUGUACCUUAUGAAUAAGGACCGGCUAAUUCCGUG
rnacentral:rRNA from 1 species